rnacentral:rRNA from 1 species
CACUCCUACGGGAGGCAGCAGUGGGGAAUAUUGCACAAUGGGCGCAAGCCUGAUGCAGCCAUGCCGCGUGUAUGAAGAAGGCCUUCGGGUUGUAAAGUACUUUCAGCGGGGAGGAAGGCGAUAAGGUUAAUAACCUUGUUGAUUGACGUUACCCGCAGAAGAAGCACCGGCUAACUCCGUGCCAGCAGCCGCGGUAAUACGGAGGGUGCAAGCGUUAAUCGGAAUUACUGGGCGUAAAGCGCACGCAGGCGGUCUGUCAAGUCGGAUGUGAAAUCCCCGGGCUCAACCUGGGAACUGCAUUCGAAACUGGCAGGCUAGAGUCUUGUAGAGGGGGGUAGAAUUCCAGGUGUAGCGGUGAAAUGCGUAGAGAUCUGGAGGAAUACCGGUGGCGAAGGCGGCCCCCUGGACAAAGACUGACGCUCAGGUGCGAAAGCGUGGGGAGCAAACAGGAUUAGAUACCCGUGUAGUCCCAUGAU